rnacentral:lncRNA from 1 species
GGGGACACUAGGGUCACAUUGGGGACAUUGGGGUCACAUUGGGGUCUCUAUGGGGUCUCUAUGGGUCUCUAUGGGGCACUGGGGUCUCUAUGGGACAUUGGGGUCUCUAUGGGGUCUCUAUGGGUCUCUAUGGGGCACUGGGGUCCCUAUGGGGUCUCUAUGUGGACACUGGGGUCUCUAUGGGGUGCUGGGGUC